GGAAGGAGUUAAAGCAGGGGAGUCGUUUUCAGAUUCGCGAUUCAGAAAGAUCACUGGCUCCUGAGAGGAGGAGUGUAUAGGGCUGCUCUUGGAGGCAAGGACGGAAGUUUCCCAGGCUGUUGCACGGCCCAGAGCGGGAAUAAGCUUCCAGAGAAGCAACCAGUCCCAAGGAUCAUCCAGCAUCUUUGAAACAAGUUUGUUGCAAGCCCUGAAUCCCCAAAAUCCAGAUCCUUUUCCCCAGCCUGUCUUACAGCCAGAACGCAGGGCUGAAUCAUGAAGGAAGGGAGGAUUUCUACCACUGAAAAUAAACCAAGAAAAGUGAAAACCCUUUUGAGGUUCUAAUAUUUGAAAUAUUAGAAAUGAUGAUGAAAGUACAAACCUAG